UAUUAUCCCAAAGGGAAAUGUACUGGAUCUUUAAGUUUAAAACCUUUUCCCCUCAGGGACUUAAUGAAUCACUUAAUUUUAGCUGUUUCCUUUAAACCUUCAAGUACUCUUUAAAAACCUUUGAAUGAACCUCCAGAAUUACUCGCAGUUGAAAUCACCACAAGCAGAGUCACUCAGUGAAAGCAUUUAGCACUAUAUAGAAAUUCAUUGUUGCUGAGUUUAACAACUCCUGAAGAAGGGGUUUUUCCCUGAAACAGGGUCAAAAAUACCCGGGACCCCUGUAGACUUGGGACUUUAUUUGGACUUUACUUUUGAAGACUUUUUUGAGAGCGGUGCUCCAUCAUUAUUUUCUUCAAUCCAGUAUACAGCAACACGACCAACCAUCUGUUUGGAAGAUAUUUUCAUUGACUGUAUCCCUGAAGCCUAUAUGUAUUGGAACCAAUACCAGACUUGAACAACUUUUGUGUUAGA